AUUGAACGCUGGCGGCAGGCCUAACACAUGCAAGUCGAGCGGAUGAAGGGAGCUUGCUCCUGGAUUCAGCGGCGGACGGGCGAGUAAUGCCUAGGAAUCUGCCUGGUAGUGGGGGAUAACGUCCGGAAACGGGCGCUAAUACCGCAUACGUCCUGAGGGAGAAAGGGGGGGAUCUUCGGACCUCACGCUAUCACAUGAGCCUAGGUCGGAUUAGCUAGUUGGUGGGGUAAAGGCCUACCAAGGCGACGAUCCGUAACUGGUCUGAGAGGAUGAUCAGUCACACUGGAACUGAGACACGGUCCAGACUCCUACGGGAGGCAGCAGUGGGGAAUAUUGGACAAUGGGCGAAAGCCUGAUCCAGCCAUGCCGCGUGUGUGAAGAAGGUCUUCGGAUUGUAAAGCACUUUAAGUUGGGAGGAAGGGCAGUAAGUUAAUACCUUGCUGUUUUGACGUUACCAACAGAAUAAGCACCGGCUAACUUCGUG
rnacentral:rRNA from 1 species